AGAUAUGCUGCUGAAAAAAAUCAGAAUGGUCUUUUUGUAAACAGCUUGUGCAAUAUAAUGUCCAGUGUAGACUCACUGAAGAGACUGCUCCUGUCUGGAAAACUGAGACCAAUAUUAUCACUUGAGGUUUGUUGCUGUGAUGAUAUAUGAUGUGUGGGACUAUUUGCUUCAUGUGUCUACUUGCCCUGAGCCCUAUAGAUGGAAAAGCGUGGCCUGUUUACUUUUUCUACAUCAUAUGACAAAGAUGCAUUUGGAGGAAACAAUUCUUCGGAGUCACAGAGUCCCUCUACCCAUGAAAGAGCAGGCCUCCCAGUGAUGUCAACUGAACACAUCAUGAAAAGAUGACAAGGUUCUCUGUCGUAUAAGGAGCCCAAUCUGCAAAUACCUGCCGCCAUGAACGCUCAUGUGACUUGUCUACCCUGAUGGACUAGAAUUAGAGCCGAGAGCCUUCUCUUUUAAGUUUCCUUUUUUCCUGGCAAGUUUCCUGCAGUAAGAACAGGAACUAAUCCCACACCGCACAAAUAGAAGCCUCUGAGUUAGCCAUGCUUGUUUUGUUUGUUUGUUUGUUUGUUUAGUUGGCUGGUUGUUGUUUUUGUUUCUUUUUGGAUCUGGUUUCCAAACUUCUAUAAGCCUAUUGCCAAUUCAUGCUGACUUUUUUUUCAACAUGUGUUGGUAUGUACCAACUUAAUGAAUAUUUAAAUUACUUUU